UUUUUUUUUUUUUUUUUUUUUUUUUUUUUUUUUUUCCAA
rnacentral:ribozyme from 1 species